rnacentral:misc_RNA from 1 species
UGGGGGAAGGAGCAGGAGGCGAGCCGGAAGGCGAGUCUGCUGCCCGACAACCAUGUGGUGUGUGUGUGUGGACUGCCGCUCGCGUGCGGGCGGCGCCCAUAUUUCAACCGUAUCAUUCGUCUAAUGCACGCUCACACGAGCACAACAACACGUA